UAUUUUAAACAAAACAUACAAUUUUUUUGUAUUUCAUACUCAAUUGGAGGAAGUACGAAAAGUCUCCACAUAUUGUUAAUAUACACGUUCAUAGUGAUGUCACAUCAUUUCGCUAAGUUUUACCAGAUCCACCGCAACGUCAUGCAAGAAUAUUAUCGCGUCAUGCCAAACAGGUCACUAAAACUCAUAAAAAGUCAUACCCCGUCCACACUGCUGUAAAAAAAUAUAUCUACUCAGUGUAGCACUAACAAAAUUUUCUAAAUAAAGACUUUAUGUGAGUCUUGGGUCUUCGACAAUAAUCCGUCAAUGGAAGACGAAAGAGGAAAAAGAAAGUCAGAGGAUAACAACCACGUUUAUUCGGAAGCAGCAAAGAAGAAGCAAAAAGAAGAGAUGAAAACGGAGGAGGUAGCGGAAGAGGAAGUGGAAGAAUUCUUCGCUAUAUUACGGAGAAUACAGGUUGCACUGUAUACACAAGAUUGCCGUUAAGUAUUUCAGUAAAGACGUUGACGGAGCUAGUGGUAGUGGUAGUGGUGGACGGAAAAUGACGGUGGAUAUUGACCGGAAAUGCUCCGACGAAAUUGUUGGCGAUAACGAAGAGAAGAAAGAGAAAGAUGAUGAUCAAGAGAAUAAGGGGUUUGAUCUUAAUAUGGACCCUUGUGAUCCUCAUGAUCAGAAUAAUUCAGGUUGAAAUACACUAUUGUGGUUCUAUGCAUUUUUUUUUUUUUGUGUGUGUGUGUUUUGGGUAUAAUAUUAUGAUUCUUUCUAUUGAUUGAUCUGUUAUUCGAAAUUUAUCGGCCCGACUAUCUGGAUAUGGACUGCGAAAGGCUCGUUAAGGAGAAAACUUCUCUAUCAAGAAUUUCUCAAUUUUUAGGGUUUAAACAUGAUAUCUCUGAUUAUAGGUGAAGACAGUGGUACAUGCAAGAUGCUUCUCAAGGCGUCUAUCGGUUUAAACGGCUGUAAUUAAUGAAUAUCAAGCAGUAAGUGUUUAGACGAACUGGUCUACAAUAUUUUGCUUUGGGGAUUUUUUUUUUACCUUGCCAUAUUCUGGGAUGUCUUGUAACAUGGUUUUCUAAUUUGUAUGCUGCGGCGUUAUUCAUGAAUGAUCAAAUGAUGUUGUUAUU